GACGGAGGAUGCAAGUGUUAUCCGGAAUCACUGGGCGUAAAGCGUCUGUAGGUGGUUUAAUAAGUCAACUGUUAAAUCUUGAGGCUCAACUUCAAAAUCGCAGUCGAAACUAUUAGACUAGAGUAUAGUAGGGGUAAAGGGGAAUUUCCAGUGGAGCGGUGAAAUGCGCAGAUAGUCAGGAGGAACACCGGUGGCGAAGGCAGGUCUCUGGGCAUUAACUGACGCUGAGGAGCGAAAGCAUGGGGAGCGAACAUGG
rnacentral:rRNA from 1 species